rnacentral:rRNA from 1 species
GAUGAACGCUGGCGGCGUGCCUAUUACAUGCAAGUCGAGCGAACGGACGAUAAGCUCUCUCCUCUGCUGUUAGCGGCGGACGGGUGAGUAACACGUGCAUAACCUACCUAUAAUACUGGGAUAACUUCGGGAAACCGGAUCUAAUACCGGAUGAUAUUUUGAACCGCAUGGUUCAAAAGUGAAAGACAGUCUUGCCGUCACUUAUAGAUGAAUCCGCGCUGCAUUAGCUAGUUGGUAAGGUAACGGCUUACCAAGGCAACGAUGCAUAGCCGACCUGAGAGGGUGAUCGGCCACACUGGAACUGAGACACGGUCCAGACUCCUACGGGAGGCAGCAGUAGGGAAUAUUCGACAAUGGGCGAAAGCCUGACGGAGCCACGCCGCGUGAGUGAUGAAGGUCUUCGGAUCGUAAAACUCUGUUAUUAGGGAAGAAAAUAUGUGUAAGUAACUGUGCACAUCUUGACGGUACCUAAUGAGAAAGCAACGGCUAACUACGUG